UUCAGAUAAAAAAUCGGCAGCUGGCAGCAGGAAGUGGCUGCCAUUGACAGCCGGAAGGCAGUAACUGGCAGCCGGAUGGUAGGCGGGACCUGCCAUUCAGUGGGAGCCAAUCAGUUUCGACCAACGUGGGCGCAACCAAUCAGAUAUAACUGCACCCAAACGCUUCAGUAAUGGUUGCGAUUGAUCAAACGGUAAGUUCAGAAAUUGGUCAUCGGAGUAAUUAAUGUUUUUUUGCGUUGUAAGUUUGAUUUUAAUUGUUAUUUUGGUGAACGACUUGGUAGACUUGGUGCCUACUUUGAUUUAAUUGUUCAAUGAAAUCUAAUUAGUAGUAGCAACAUUGUUUGUGUACCUUGUUAGGGGCCUACCAUUAACUUCAAAUUACGUUUGACGUACCAUUAAAUAUUAACGUUUGUUAGCGUGUUAACAGUCUAUUGAAUAAUAUAAAAGAAUGUUGUUUGACUGGAAUGAUAGAAGAUAAAUUUGCAACACUAACCAUAUAUUUUUACAUGUUAAGUCUUUCAGGAGAUUGUGUGAUAUACAUUAACUUAAGAGUUCUUAAAAGAAGUUUUUUUUUUUUUUUGCACUAUUGAGGUGUGUUUUCUCUAAUACUAUGCAUGUGCAGAAGUUGUAAGCAUGUGAAUGCAAAACAAUUUUUUUAUUUAUUUUUUUAUUAUCUAUACAAAAUAUAAUGGACCGGUUCAUAAUUCCUUAUAACUUUUAGGUCUAGUUUCACAGACAGGGCUUGGAUUAAGCCAGGAUUAGGCUGUAGUUAAAUUUAGAACAUUGAAGUAGCUUUUGUAAACAUGCAUUUAGAAAAAAAAAAAAAAACAUUACUGAUGUGCAUCUUGAGACAAAACCAUGGCACUGACACCUUUUUUUUUUGUAAUGCCCAAUAGUUGCCAGAUGCUGUCCUGUUGGAAAUUCUUCUUUACGUGAUCCUGGAGGAGGGGUUAUGCUACAUUACUAAGUCCGUCUUUGGUUUGUUCCAAAUUCAGAAGUCUGCUGUACUGUAUACAGACUCCUUUCGAAAGCGGGCACAAUCCAGCUGGCUUAGCUGAGUAUCUUCUUUUACAUAUUUGAUUAGAGGUUUAAAAAGGUGGAACAAAAUGGAGAACAAGUCUAAGCCAUGUCAGGAAUUCAACAAAAUGUACACCCUGCAGACACUGCGACGAGGUUUACAACAACUGCUUACCAGGUCACUGCAGUCACCCGGAUCGAGUAUGUAUCCAGACCAGAUGGUGGAUCGCACCUAGAAAGAACCUCUACAGCCCUGAAAGACAGCGGAGACCAGGACAACUAGAGCCCCAGAUACAGAUCCCCUGUAAAGACCUUGUUUUUUCUCCAUUUUGUCACCGGUGGAGUUUUGGUUCCUUGUCGCCUCUGGCUUGCUUCGUUGUGGUCACUUCAUUUACAGUGAUAUCAUUGACAUGAUUGCAAAUGAUUCCACAGAUACGAUUUAAACUGAACCGAGCUGAAGGAUGACAUCACUGAAUUGAAUGAUAAACUGCCUUUUAAACUGACUACAAACUGAGUUUACUAAUGUCCUUCUGCAUUAUUGACUGACACACUAUUUUCCUAUAUAAUACUGUAAAGUUGCUUUGCUUUGAUCUGUAUUAUUAAAAGCACUAUAUAAAUAAACGAUGCUUGACUUAACCAUGUUGCAAGAGGAAAAUGAGGGGAGAUGCACAUCCACCCUGGGUUUUACAGUGAUUGGUGCAAGAUGCUGGAGAAGUAACUCCGUAUCAGUUCUGAUCUAAGAGUCUUGAAAAUACCUCCGGAUUGUUGUUAGUGAUUCUGAUUGAUAUUUUAGUCUGCUUGCUUACUGGAUAUAUUUUAUACGGUUUACAUUGUAAAGAACUGACUUUGACAACUUACUAACCCAGUUACAAAUUUAACAGCUACUUUAUACUAUAUGUAUAUAUAUAUAGUUGUUUCUUGAAAUACUACAAAUAUAACCGCAAAUUAUGAUUUUAAAUAAAGGUCUCUGAGACUUCUCUCUUUUCAGUCAUUUGUGUAUAUAGCCUAUAAUAAAUAUACAACAUACACCCAGUAAGUGCCACUCUCGUAUAUAAAUUGUUUUAUUUCACACAAACAAUGAUACAUGCAUGCAUAAACAUUCAGCUGGAAAUUAACGUUUAGCAAAAUGAUCUUAUUUCUUUGUUUAUAUUUGAUCAAUUUUUUUAAAUCAAAUAAUAUACAAUACUGACCUUUAUACUUAUUUAAAAAAGUAUUGAACAUAAUCAUAAUUGUAUAUAAUUAUUUAUUUGUCUUGUUGCCGCCGGCAGCCUCCUCCAAUUUCCGGGUAUUAGCGACAGCUGCCAUCCGGUUUUAUUGGCAGCCACUUCCUGCUGCCAGUGACAGCCACUUCCUGCUGACAGCUGCCGAUUUUUCGCUGAACCCCCUC